rnacentral:lncRNA from 1 species
ACCGAUUUCAGAAACCGGGACUAGUGAAGCUACGGCUUAAAACACCGCUGUUUCCUUAAACAUCUCUCGCCCAGAGAAAUUGAAUUUCUUAACCAAUCAGUGAUUCGCAGAUGAUGUCAGUAAAAUGGCGGAAUUUUCAAGCGUACAUGCUAUAAAACCGAGUAGAAAUUUUUUUGAAGAAGAAAAAAACGUUCUAAUUGAACUAAUUAAAGCGUAUCCUGCUAUUGAGGAUAAGGGAUAUGAUUUAAAAUCAGUCAACAAAAAAAAGCUUGGAAAAGUAUUCAUGAUGAAUUUAAUUCAUCAUUUUCGACACGAUCCUCUCGAACACUGGAUCAAUUGAAAGAUAAAUAAGAAUUUUUAUUAAAACUAAUACCUCUUAAAC